CGCUGCCGGAAGAGAACGGAGCGGCAAGAACAGCAAAACAACGUUAGAUUACAAACGUGGUCUCUAGGGGCUGUAAAAAGCCCAAAUCCUUCCCCAUCAUUUGAAACACCCUGGGUUAAGUUCGUUUCAGAGCACAGGAGCAUCCGGAGAAUAUAGACUGUGAGCUGGAACCUCAGGUGCAGCUGGGCCCUGGGCUGCGCAGCCAAGGAGAGAGGAAACGAAUUAGUUUGCUCCCUGAUGCAGGAACUGCUUGGGAAUUAUUCUGACCCUUGUUAUAAAUCAGGUGCUUAUCUUCUAUUUCUGCACAAGAAAUAUGAAAAUCAAGAAAAGCAGAUGUGCUAUCAACCUUUUAAGUUUCAUCCUGGAAAUGAGGUUGGAAUAUUCCAUAAGGAAAUCAAUGUCAUUUUCCUACCCUCUUCUGUCUCUGUAAGAAAUGCUCUGCCUAAGUCCUCUGCUCUGCACUGGCAAUUCCUCUUCUGUUUCUUUAGGUGACUCCAGGCUGAGAUCAUGUUUUUUCUCUCAACUUCAUGCGAGCCUCCUUUUCUAACCCUUCCAAGAGCAUUUUAGAACCAGUUUGCCCUGAAACCCUGAAAUCAGAGAACACUGAGGGAUUAGGUUUAAACUUGUUAAACUGAAUUAACACUCCUGCCACAUGAUUCUGGCCUGUGCCAGUCCUUUUAAUCUUGUUCAGAGUUUAGGAUAAUUUGUUUAGUAGGGCUGAUCAGCUGGAGGUUAAUUCAAUUGGACUUUGGUUAUUUAUUCAUGCCCGGAUUUGCUAAGUGUCACAGCAGAUACACGAGGUCUCUGUUACAGUUAUGAGAUGGCUUCAUUAGUGUGACGGAGAGUCCAUCUGGAUGACUUCCUUUCCUCAGUGCAAUAACUGGCUGUCAGGGCUCUCUCCAGUGGAAAAAACUCCUUAUAUAACAUCUCCCUUUCAUUUGUGUCACAAGUGUAUUGAUUACACUUAAAACGCACUCCUCUGUUCCAAUUGCUGGGAUUGCCAAUAAACUUUCUCAGGGAUCUCAAUAGUAUUCCAGCUCUACAUUUUCCAUUGAUACCAGAACUUAAAAGAAAAGUAGAAAUGUGUUGUAAAAGCCAUUUAUUAUUAAUAAUGUGCUUUCAUGCAACAUUUUGGUCCUUCUCACUUCAAGGUCCACUUUUCUCACAAGUGAAGUGCUACCAGUGCUGGGUUGGAACAUGGUCAGUCUUUUGCACUGUCCAGAAUUAACUAUCCAGAAAUGGAAGACAAAAAAGAGGAAAAAAAUUGCAUCCUACUGAAACCUCUGGAGCAAUUUAAGUUGGCAGAACGUUGUUACUCAAACUGGAAUGUGGCCAGGACACCAGGAUUAAUGUUAGCACAAAAUGCCAUUUGAUUGCAAGUGUUCAGAUAACCUUGGAUGAAAGUCUUAUCUGAAAAGAGGCUCUUCUAACAGAAAGGGCUCCCUGAUGUUGGCUGGGACUUUGCUUCAGGGUUGACUCAGAGAAUUUUUACUCUUUGCUUCAGCAGUUUUUGAAUGGGACAGCUCCUGAAUGGUAACAGAUCUCCCCUUCACAGCCUGCAGCACAGCAGAUAAUUUCUCAGAGAGAAUUCCAUGCCAUAGACUGAUGUCUCUUUUUAGAGAUGUUUCCUGAUAUAUCAUGCAAACAUUACAAAUAGGAGCCUGAAGGGAAGCUUGCUGGGGAAGGUCCUAAAAAUUAGAAGGAAGGAAAAAUGUUCAAUGUUGAGAAGGCACUGGGACAAGCUGAGUUUCCACAUCUGCAUAAAUGUGAAGUAGCUAUUUAUGUCAUGGAGUUACUCCUGAGUAAGUGAGACUGUCCUUUGCCUCAUUCUUGUUUUAUUCUCCUCUCUGGAUGUUUCUACUGUAGUCCUCUAAUACAUGUUGUGACUUGGGCUGGCAAAACUAGGAGAUGCCCAGCCAAAGCUCUGAUGAUUAAGAGCAGUGUUAAUCGAAAUUUCUUCUCUUUCUCUCAUUUUUUUUCAAUUAAAUUGUAAAUCUGUGCUGAGGACAAACCACUAGCUUCCAGGGAGUGAGAAAUGUUCCCACAUGCUUGGCCUUCUUCAGAAAAUCCUGUCACAGUUAAACACCGUGAAAUAUGGUUUCCAACAGAACAGUGUUCCCAAAACCAGCUGGGACCAGCCUUACAACUCAGCAUUCUUUGCAGAAGUUUAUUUCCUGUUGACUUGGAAGGCACGUUAGAGCUUUGGAGAGGAGUUUCUACUUAUCUACAUAACAAUGCAAGAUGAGUCCUGCAGCAUCAGCUCCCACAGAGAAGCUGGAGACAGCAGGACUACAGAAAAAUGUGCCAGUACCCAUCCUUGCCAUCAGACGAGUGAGCUGCUGUGGGACUUGAUGUUUCUUGCACUGGUCCUGGGUCCUACAUGUCUGCAUGGGGAAAAGGAAAGCAUGCAGGGAGGGUUUUGAGGCAUAAAUUAUGAAGGAGGCUGUACCUUCAAAAAUCCAGUACCUGUUCCCAAGAGACUUGAUUCCCGCCUGAAGGAGAAAGCAGUGUGCAAGCUCCAUCUCUGUGGAUGCUCUCCUGUUACUACAGCUCCUUCUUUACAAUAAGGUAGGAGCUUCAUGCAAUGGGAACAACCCUUACAGGGCUGUGUGUCAGCUGCGUGUGUGGAUAAACUAUAUUUGACCAUGGGACUUGCUUUGCUAUUUGGUUUUGAGGGCAAAACCCAUCACUGUUUUUAUGUAGUGUUAACGUGACCUAAACUGUUUUAUAAGUGGAGCUAUUUUCCAUUCUAUGGAAGCUGAAGGUUUUCCCUUGCUUUCCAUGGGAAGACACCAAUUGUUGCAUUUCCUCCAGCCCAGUCUUCCCAUUUCUUUCCUGCAGCAGCUUAGACUUGUAUAUGAGCCAAGGUAUGAUUCCCAUAAGCAUUUACAUAAUUUAAUAUUCCUUUUCCUUGUCUUCCUUAUUUUUCAUUUAUACGUUAACCAGCACCUGAGAUGCUCAGUGCU